UACGAAGGGGGCUAGCGUUGCUCGGAAUCACUGGGCGUAAAGGGUGCGUAGGCGGGUUUUUAAGUCAGGGGUGAAAUCCUGGAGCUCAACUCCAGAACUGCCUUUGAUACUGAAGAUCUUGAGUCCGGAAGAGGAGAGUGGAAUUCCCGGUGUAGCGGUGAAAUGCGCAGAUAUCGGGAAGAACACCCGUGGCGAAGGCGGCUCUCUGGGACGGUACUGACGCUGAGACGCGAAAGCGUGGGGAGCGAACAGG
rnacentral:rRNA from 1 species